rnacentral:lncRNA from 10 species
GUGUAGCGAUGUGUGUGGGGUUCGGAGCCGCGCCGGCACAGCCGAAGGGAGCGGGCGAGCGGCGACGGCGGCGGCGGCGGGCACAGGUGCGGCUCCGGCUUACGGCGGCGACGCGGCGGAGGCGGCGGGAGGCCAGAGGCGCUCACCCUCCUAGGAGCCCGACGGCGGCGACAGGGGCGAUUAAUUAAAAGAAGAAUGAACUAUAAUCCUUGAAGAUAACUGGGCAAUUUUUUAAGUCGGAGGCUGUUCUUACUGGUGUGAGGAUUUACACACGUCUUCAGUUUUUCAGCACAGACCAGCAGACCAUCAUUUUUAGAGGAAAUACUCCCUCUGCCCUCCUUUUUGGUUUCCUUGGUGGUAAAGAUUAAAUUUGGUUGCAUCAUUUUGACUUGUGUUUGAGUCUAGAUUUUAUGGCACAAGGAAUGGCAUAAACUUUUCAUGUGUUUUGGUUAAAACAAACCAGACCAUUGCAUUGACCCUGGACAUCUUUAAUUGAGAAAUUGGUAACUUUAUUUUAAUAUGUAUAUCUGAAGAAUUCAAGAAAACAAAGGCAU